rnacentral:tRNA from 1 species
GCGCCCGUAGCUCAGCUGGAUAGAGCACGCGCCUUCUAAGCGUGUGGUCGCAGGUUCAAGUCCUGCCGGGCGCGCCA